UACGUAGGGGGCAAGCGUUAUCCGGAAUUACUGGGUGUAAAGGGUGAGUAGGCGGCAUGGUAAGCCAGAUGUGAAAGCCUUGGGCUUAACCCGAGGAUUGCAUUUGGAACUAUCAAGCUAGAGUACUGGAGAGGAAAGCGGAAUUCCUAGUGUAGCGGUGAAAUGCGUAGAUAUUAGGAAGAACACCAGUGGCGAAGGCGGCUUUCUGGACUGAAACUGACGCUGAGGCACGAAAGCGUGGGGAGCGAACAGG
rnacentral:rRNA from 1 species